ACCAAGAUAAAGCAUUCUUAGACAUUUUAAAUGAGUUCCGGAAGGGGCGCAAGGACAUAAAUACAGUCCACAAUCAGAUUUCCAAUCUUCUUGAUGGUCAUGCCAAUUUAAUUGAUGAAUUCACUAGAUUUCUUCCUCUGAAAGCUGAAACUGUUUCAGCAAAGAAAUGAAAUCAAGAGAUUAAGAGAUGAUGGCUCUUCGCCGACCGGUUCUUUAAGUGGAGAUUUCUAUGGGCAAUCCCAAAUCCCAGUAGAUGGUGGUGGUGGUACUCCAAGGAAUUAUACACGGAAUGAUGCCUGGACCUAUCUCAUGGAAGUGAAGGAAACGUUUCAAGACCAAAGAGCGAAA